AACGGCGAGGGCAACGCGUGGAGAUACGUAAUCGGGCCUCCAGGGUUCCGUAACCGUACACUUUCAUCGGGUACCGGAGGCCCCGAGAAAAUUAUCACCGUCGGCGCUGUCAUCAAUAUGGAGGACGCAACGGAAGGGAAUACUGUUCGUUCUGCUACGUGCUGCUGAUAACUCACCGAUGUUUCACGUUCCUCUCACGGCCGGCGUAUGCUGAUCCUCUCGGAUAUCGCUGAAAAUCGUCUUUCCUCACACGUGUUCGUGUUUCCACGUCGCGCUGGACUCCUUUGCAACACGAAACCUCGAAAUAUUCCCUUACCUCAUAAAGCCGAGAACGUUCGUGUGAGGGCGUUGUGUAAGACGCGGAGGACAAUAUGGCCGAAUCGAACUACGAAUGUUCAAAUGCUGCGCGUUGGUAGCUGCGCACUAGGACGCGUCACUCGUCAUGUUUACACCGGACGACCGUCGUUUUACUCACUUCCGGGCGUUAAACUAAACCCACCUUCGCUCUUGCCAAUUCACUUUUUCCAUUAUCGUCCAUCGGACCUUCGUCUACCAUACCGCGGUUCUGAUCGCCGGAGCCUCGAAAUCCUUCAAUUUCUGAAUCCUUUCGAAUACGGUCCAACAACUGUCCUCGUAUACGCAUGAGUAGAAUACAUUCCAACGAAACAAAAAAGAUGCAGUUCUGUACGAAAAGAGCGGGAAAAAUGCACCUCGGGAAGGGGAAACUAUUAAAAAGUGGGGGAGACCAACACCCAUUUACAUAGGUGAAAUUAUUGUUGCUUUUUCCUAAGUGGUUACUAAACGACUGACGUACAUCACCGAAAUAAGUACGUUGAUCAGUCGAGCGUUUCCUAUGUAUUUACAAAUCUUCCUAUCAAAUUAUCUGUGCAAAUCUCUGAUUACUCAGUAUUUAUUUAAUGUAUAUAUAUGUACAUACUAUAAAAAAACUUUUAUUUUUUAAUAUCUACGUGUUCUCGGUUGCAUUAAGAUAAAAUGCACGUACGUGGUGUAUAAGGGAAAAAAUAAACUGUUCACAUUAAAUAUAAA